UGUGUUGAACGUGAGUUGCAUGUGUUGUACGUGAGCUGUAUGAGUGUGUUGUAUGUGUAUGUUGUGAGUUGCAUGUAUUGUAUGUAUGUUGUAUGUGUUGUGUGUGCAUGUUGUGUUGUGAGUUACAUGUGUUGUGUGUUGUAUGAGUGUUGUGUGUUGUAUGAGUGUGUUGUACAUGUGUUUAUGGGUUGCAUGUGUUGUGUGUUGUAUGAGUGUUGUGUGUUGUGAGUGAAUUGUACAUGUAUUUGUGUUGCGUUGCAUGUGUUGUGUGUAUGUUGUAUGUGUUAUAUGUUGUAUGAGUGUGUUGUACGUGCAUGCUGUGUUGUGCGUGAGUUGCAUGUGUUGUGUUGUAUGAGUGUAUUGUAUGUGUAUGUUGUGUUGUGAGUUGCAUGUAUUGUGUGUACGUUGUAUGAGUGUUGUGUUGUAUGAGUGUGUUGUACGUGAAUGUUGUGUUGAGUUGCGUGUGUUGUGUGUGUUGUACGUGCAUGUUGUGUUGAACGUGAGUUGCAUGUGUUGUACGUGAGCUGUAUGAGUGUGUUGUAUGUGUAUGUUGUGAGUUGCAUGUAUUGUAUGUAUGUUGUAUGUGUUGUGUGUGCAUGUUCUGUUGUGAGUUACAUGUGUUGUGUGUUGUAUGAGUGUUGUGUGUUGUAUGAGUGUGUUGCAUGUGCAUGUUGUAUGUGAGUUGUGUGUUGUGUAUGCUGUAUGAGUGCACUGUACGUGCAUGUUGUGUUGUAUGUAAGUUACGUGUGCUGUAUGUGUGUAUGAGUGUGUUGUACGCACAUGUUGUGUUGUGAGUUGCAUGUAUUGGUUAUGUGUCAUAUGAGUGUGUUAUAAAUGCAUAUUGUGUUGUGAGUUGCAUGUAUUGGGUAUGUGUUGUAUAGGUUGUGUGUGUUUGUGUGCAAUGUGUGUUGUCAGUGUUGUAUAAGCGCAUUGUACAUGCGUGUUGUGUUGUGUUGCAUGUGAGGUGCAUGUUGUCAGUGUGUGCCAUGUGAGAGGCGGGGCAUCCACAUGACUGCUCCUCAGUGAGUCCUGCCUUGCAGUCCCUUCGAGCUUGUAUCUUCCCGAGCAGCCAAGAAGCAGCAGCCUGUUUUCCUCUGCCCCUCCCCAGGAGGCCUCAGCCAGGUCCUGUGCUCAGCCCCCCACUGGGCAGUCUGCCUCUCUUGUCUCUCUCUCUUCUCUCUUGUCGUCCUCCUGCGCCUCCUCCUUCUCGGGGCCUGCAUCCUUCCUCUGUGCUUCCUGGCAAGACACACCUGGGACGUUGGAGUUCAGGCUCUCCUCGAAACCGUUUGCUCCUCUCUGAAGAGCACCCCCCUUGACUGGCCGUGAGCAGCUGGAGUGGAUUGCAGGGAAGGGAGGUGGGUGUUCCUGUAGAGACCCCAGGGU
rnacentral:lncRNA from 10 species